UUCUACAAAAUUGAGUAAUUAAAUUAAUAUUUACUUGUUCGAUAGAAAUUGCUCCCCUUUAGUCACAUUUUAAUUAGUUUAACCCUGUUUCGCCGCUAGUGUUCCAACCCCAGUGAAAUACAUCUAUUUGUAUAUUUUUUCAAUUAGUUAAUUUUCAAUUAAUUUCAAUUUCAAAUAUUUUCAACAAAAAAAAAAAAUUAAAUUUGAUUCGAUAAAAGUGAAAAUGCAAACGAUAAGGGAUAAUGUGCUCGAAGAGGCAGGUUAAAAGCAUCUCGUGGGAUUACCGCACACUACAUAAUCCCGGACAAUCCUUUAACUUGUAUCAAUAACGAGAAAUGUGAAAAUAGAUGUGCCAAUAAAAAAAAUAUCACGACCUCAAUGUAACGGGAAAUAUGUACAAGAUGUAAAUUUUAAAUUACAAGAAUUCGUAUUUUAAAUACGAAGAGUAUCUUUUUUUUUAAUAUUUAUACAGUUUCUUCACACUAUUUUCAAUAGUGCAUUAAAAAAAGAAACAAACGAAAAGGAAAAACUAUAAAAAUGUUUGGAUCAAAAUUGAGGACUUGGAUGGAGGCACACAUUGUACGUCCGAAGAAGAAAAAAAAGAAAGAUUUGAAAGAAGGCGAAAAAGGAUUCGAAUCUAAUUGCAAUUCACCUAGUAAAUAUUACACAAGAUUGUCCGUUCCUUGUCAAGUACAUCCACUGGUUUCACCUGCACUGACGAAGAACUUGGACGGCAUCCAUCUGCAGACGAUGACGGGCUCGUCUGGUACUUCUGUCGGUGUUGGAAGUGUUAAUCUCUCAUCGCCUGAAAGUGCCUACAGUACUGGAUAUUCGACAGAUGGCACAUCUCCCGGUGCGAGCUUUCCUCCUGAAUAUUACAUCAAUAUCAGAACGGGAAAGCACUAUUUUCAAAAUAGAAAAAACACCACUCGAGGCAAGAAGAAUUGCGACGCUAAUUGUCAACCAGUUGCACUGCUUAAUGGACGUGAAAAUUCAGCAACAAAUCAAUCGACAUCUGUAAACAAUAAACAGCCUAAAAAUUCUCAAGGAAAUACAUUUACUAAGUUGACUGAAGCGGCAAAAAAUCAUUAUCCACACUAUUAUCAGAGUCACAGUCCUCAGCAGGAUGAGCAUCGUCGGCAUACACAAGUCUCGCAUCAGAGGGCAGAAUCGUUUUCAGUGAAUUCAUCAAUAAACAGUCUGUCGAUUCCAUCUUCUAUACCACCGCCUCUAGUUUCGGGUCCACUGCAAUCCCCAAGGCAACGAUCGCGAAUUCGAACGAAUCCAUGGCUGUCGGCCAACUCUUCCAGUUCGGCCAGUACAUCGGGCUACAAGUCAAGACUAACUCCCGAUGAAAGUAGUAUUAGUUCAAGUUUAAAAUUGAUGGAAUCUUCGGGCAGCGUGAGUGACAUUAAUGUCAGUAUUUAUCGGGAGAAUAAAAAACGAAGAGAAUACAGACAGGAGAGUCUUAGUGCUGGCAGGAGUCCUAUAAAUCAGAAUUGGAGAAUAACGCCAGGAAUGAAUAUUCGCGAUGUGAAUAAUUCUCUAGCAAUGCCAAAGCGUUCGAAAAUUGGAGGGAGAGUCAUCAAUAGUAGUUGUAGUACCAGCAGCAAUAGCACUUGUUCAGCGUCCUCGACAACAAGAAGUGUCCAUACAUCCGACGAAGAUUUAACUCUAAACGAAAUGUUGGGUAAAUAUGAUGAAAGUUAUGUUUAUGAAAAAGAAACUGACAUACUGUCGGACAGUGAUCCAACCGAUUGUGACGAUCAUAUCGAUUCACUAUCCGACGUCGACACCGCACAAGAUGAGAAUGAUCCAUUCGAAAAAGAUUUCGAUUACAUUGAUAAUGCCACGUCUUUUCUAGAAUUGGAGAAACUAGAUUCAUCUGGACAUUUAUACAAUAAUAAACAGUGCUCAUUUUUCUCAGUGACCAAUCAGUUGGGUCGGCAUGAUCCUAGAUUGACAUUCAUUAAGAGACGAAAUAAAGAGGAAAAAGCGAAUCAUCGGUCUAUUAAUGUGGGAAACGGUGUGAAACGACAAAAUAUACAUUUGAAGAAAAUUGAAAAACUUACCAGUGAGAGGACUGUUAAUGAGAAAAGGAAAAAGAGAAUUUCUCAAAGGCGCAAAUGGGAUGAUGAAACUGCAAAUCUAAAUAGAGUGCUUGUCGAGAGGAUGCUAUUGAAAAAUUCAGGUUUCAACCAAGGGAGUCGAAGUGUCGGAGGAACUCCCAUUUGUCUCAGGAGGAAAAAACACGAUGUCAACAAAAAUUUCUCACCGAUAAAGCAGCCAUCCGUUACUGAGGGCUUGAUAUCCCCUCGACAAUUUUUAGUCGAAAAGAAAGCGGCAGAAAUUGUUAAACGCAGAUCUAAUUCAGUAAGCUACGUGAACGGAAAGGGUUACAUGACAACGUUCGCCUCAGAAAUCGCUCUAAUUGAAGCUGAUAAAGAAGCAGAUCGAAAAUACAGAGAAUUAAUAAUGGAGGCGGAAAAUAUUCUUGUAAAUAUGCAAAGAAAUCACAAUACUUCUCCAGUUGUACCAUCGCCGUCUAGAAAAUUUCACAAUGGCUUAACAAACAAACGAGUGGAACUGAUAAAAAAUACGGAAUUAAAUAUAGAACUUGCUUUAUCGAAAAGUAGAAAUUCCCAACCGGAACUACAAAGUGGAAGUAUAAAAGAUUUAGAACACAUCAGUCCCAAGAGACAAUUUCCAAGAAAUGGAAAUUUAGCCAUAUCGAAGGAAAAUCAUCAAGUAAAAUGCCCGGAUUCUCCACUAAUGUCAAGAAAAGCUUCACAUGAGUCACUUAUCAAGGGCCUAUUGCAAAAUAAAAUACGCGUUGUGAAUGAUAAUUUAACGAGAACGCAAGGAUUGCCAUCGAAUUAUUAUGCCAUUGAGCAAGGAUCUCCAAAUUUUAAUAAAAGAGCCGAGUCACCGUCAAUUGUAAAAUCUAAUGCAGAAGUUAUGAAGAUGCAAAAUAAUUAUGUAAUGGAGAAAAAGAAUGCAACAAUUCCCACUCCUUUGAAAGUGGAGAGUAAUACAUCCAGUUCGUCUGAUUCUGAGGAACGUUGCGAAGAUGUUGAUAGAGAGCCGCUUCUUAAUUUCAGGUCAAUAGAUAUGGAUCCAAUUAAGGAAAGUGCAUCAUACUGUCCGCAAAGUGAACCAGUCAAGAGAAAAGUUUAUGCAGGAAGUGUGACAUUUGGAAGAAUUCAAAAAACCUUGGGUGAACAUAAUGUACUCGGGGAUACAACGAAUGAAGACACAGAUGGCUCGAGAAGAUCUCUUCGGGAAAAAGUAGCGCGUCUUCGACAGGAACGACUAGUAGCCGAAGCAAAUUUGAACGUACAAGAAAAUCGAGUUUUUCAGCAACAAAUUUCCCAGAUACGAAGGCAAAUGCUUAUGCAAACAAUCGAGGGCUUAAAGCGCAGUUUGGAAGAUCAAUCAGCUACUUUAAAGCAAACUUGCCUAGACUCUUCGAUUUUGAAUGAUAAUUUUUCUUAAAAAAAAUAAUUUCGUUGCAAUUCUUGAGAAAAUAGAAGAGAGAAAUAUUAAGAGAAGAAAUAAGAGAAAAAAGAGAAAAAAGAAAGAGAGAAAUGUUAAGAGAAAAAUACUAAGAGAAAAAUGACAAACUUGAUUUAAUGAAACUAGGACGGAUAAAAAAAAGGAGAAGAAUAUGAAACGAAAAGCUUCCAUUUCCAGCUAAGCCAGAAACUAGAAGUUAGAAAUAAAGCAUAAUGAGCUUUGAAGGAUAUCUCAAGUGAGAAAUUUUUGAAAAUAUGUAUAUUAAAAAUAUUUCGGUUAUUUGAACGUUGAACAUUUUUUGGACAUUGUAUACAAUUUUCUAUAUUCAAUCCUGCAUUAGACACGUGGAUGUGGAAAAAAACAGAAAAAAUUUUUCUCAGUGUUUACUGCAAUUAAUUGUAAAUUAAUAAUACUCAAAACACUUGAAAUAGUGACUUUGCUAUACUUGGCUAGUUCUAAGAAGAAAGGGAGGAUAAAUUAUAUUUUAGAAGAGAUUUGCAAAAAAAAUUUUUUCUCAAUUUUAUAACAGAAUAUUGUCACCACUUCAUAGAAUAUUCAGGCAAUAUUACCAAUAUUGAAAUAAUAAUAUUUACCAAAAUUGGAACAAUAUUACCAAUAGUGGAAUAAUAUUUUCCAAUAAUGGAUUUCCAAUGGAACAAUAUUACAAAUAUUGAAAAAAGAUUAACAAAAUUGGAACAAUAUUGGUUUGAAUUAAUGAAUAUUACCAAUAUUACCAUGAAGAUGGUUAUUCUGAUAAUGUUAAUAAAACUUUAUAAAUCGGAUGAAUUCUGACAAAAUUUGAUGACAACUAUAAUUAUAACGUAUACUAAUAAUAAAGCCAGAUAGGAACAAGCUUAUAUAUACGAUGCGUAUGUAUAUUUUUCUGAAUGAAAGAUAUAAGAUUUAUCGAAAUUACAAAAAAUAUUUUCUGGGUGUGUUUCUUGUUAAACUUCAAUAAAAAAGCACAGAAAGACCAUAUUUUAUACGACUGUUUCGUUCGUCUGUUGAAAAUUUGAAGAUUUGAAUGAAACAAGUUUUUCAAUGUGUAUACUGUUAAAGAAUUAAUGAGAUAAUUAAUUAUAGAAUUCUAUAAUUAAUUAUAGAAUGUUCUAGAUUUGGCCCCAAUUGACAGUUUGAUAAAGAUGGAAAAAAAGCAAAGUUUUUGAAAGAUACCCAAAUUAAUUAGGCAAUCAGUCUUUUUUACAUUAAUAGAAUAAAUAAUUUAUUGUCUAUAAUAUACAAUAGUAUACUAUAUACAAUAAAUAACUUUGUAUACUAUAUACAAUAAAAAUAACUUUGUAUAUUAUAUACAAUACGAUAUAUUAGGUGCAUAAUAGUGAUGAGUUCAUCAUUUACUACAGACUUCUAGACAAUGAGGAUCUAUUAGAUUUUUUUCUUUCUAGAAAUUAUAUACUGCAGUUUAUUAAAAAAAAAAACUUAUUUAAUAGAAAAGUAAUCUCAAAUAACUUCCAUUCGCAAAAUGAAAUUUAUAAUCAUUUAAAAGUAACUAAAAAAUAGGCAUGAUAAUUGUAGGUCUUAUUGAUAUGUUACUGAAUGUAAAUUAUUAUUUUAUUUAUUAUAGUUCAUAGUUCCUGAAAGAGAAUUUAAUAAAAACCUCAGGUGUUAGUUCUUAUAUUUGCUCUAUUAAAAGUGAGAGUUCUUUUUGUUUCGAAAAAAAAGGUCUUCCGUUAUAGUUUUAAUGAUGAUAAAUAUAUAUAUCCUAUUUACUUGAUGAAUAAUAUUAAUUUACAGUAUAACAUUAAGGGACUAAUUGAUAAAUUAUUGCAAUUCUUCCUCUACGAAAAAUAAAUUUAAAUACUUAAAAUUUGCUUUUCUAGAUUUUUAACGAACCGUUUUUACUAUGAACUUUUUUUUCCAAAAAUUUAAGCAAAAAGUAGGUAUGACUUUUUAACAGUCAGUAUAGAGACAUUUAGGAAUGUAUUUUACACGCGUAAUCCAGUAAAACGGUAGAAAUUGUAAUAGUAGGUACUGUAUCUUCUAAAUUUGAAAAAAUUUACACGGACUUUGUUAUUCAAAGAUUUUCUUUUUACAGUUUUGUCUCUUUUAUAUCAAAAAGCAAUGAAUUACGAUGAAAUAAAUUAGUAAAAGAUGACUAAUUAGUAAAAGAAGAGUGUUUAAAAAAAAAUUUGCUUUGUAAUUUCGUUUCGAAAUAAAAGUCAAGAGAUAAUUUUGACUUUGAAUUCAAAGUCCGAGACAAAAAUCAAUUUUAAUUUUCAACUUAUUAUCAUUUCUCACUUUGUCAAGAAUAAAAAAAUCAAUUGAUAGCUUAAGACGAUUCUUAUAGAGAGGCAAAGAAAGUGAUAUUUAAGAGAAUAGACUGAUAGUGUUAGUAAUUUAAAGUGUAGAAUUAAUUUUACAAAAUAUUAUUUCCCACUUAACUUAUUACAAUAUCAUAACGUAUAGAAUUGUAAUUGAAAUAUGAAUAGCUUCAUUUGAGAUUACCCAAUAUUAAACUUUUAGGACAGUGUAGUAACUAAUAAAAGAAAAAUGUUUUCAAAAAAAAAACAUAGAUGAGUAGUUCUUGUAGCAAUAGUUAAAAUUACCAAGAAAUAUCUACUAGUCUUUUAGAUGGUUAUUAUCAUAUUUUAGUAAAUGAUGAAAAAAUUGUACUCAGAGUACGCCUUCAAAAAAAAAAAAAAAAAAAAAAAAAAAAAAAUGGGGCCCAGAAAUUUGGGCAUUAACUUUCGAUCAUAUUUUAUUGUAUAUGUACGAAAAAGUUUGCUGUGAAUCAUUAUGAUUUAAAACUAAAUAUUUCUCGACACUUUGUAUCGAGCAUUUUUGUAUUUAAAUAUAUUGUAUUUAUGUACAUAUCGACUAAGUUUAGUUGAAAGUUUGUUAAAUGUUGAAAAAUUUUUCACUGCAGCAUUCGCAUUAUUUGGGAAAAAUUACUUUGAAAAGUUGUCCCUCUGGUAUUCUUUUCUAAAUAACAAAUGAAAAGGAUAACAAAUUGAGAGUAACGCGUUACUAUUUUGAAAAAGUAAGAAUAAUUGUAACGAACUACAUGUUUUGGAUAAUUUGUAAAGAAAAAGUCGUUACUUUUCUUCUUACCUUGUAAUUAUUUGGAUUUAAUGACACGUUUUGAAUGUGUGGAUUGUUCAUGUGUAUGAAAAUAUUUUUAAAGAAAUUUAUAACAAAUAUUAAUAUUAAUUUUUUUUCUAUGAAUAUUUUUUAAUUUUAUGUACAAUCUGUGUUACAGAAAAGAUAAAAAUCAGUUUUUCUUUAUCUUAAAUAUAAAGAUUUCCAAA